rnacentral:misc_RNA from 1 species
CAAGAAGCCGAAAGGCUACUUAAAACCAUCGCGAACUUAUCCAAGUUGCUUCGGCGGCGCGGCUCCCCUCACGGGGGACCGCAGCCCCCCGCCUCUCAGGAGGUAAGGGGCAGCCGCCGGAGGUACGAAACUCUGUAUUAUAGUGGUAUCUCUGAGUAUAAAACAAAUAAGUUA